CCAUUGGUGAUUCAGUGGUAGAAUUCUCGCUUUCCAUACAGGAGAUCUGGGUUUAAUUCCUGGCCAAUGCA
rnacentral:tRNA from 1 species